UAAAACAUCACUAGAAUAAAAUCAAGAUGGCUACCUGUCAAUGUACUUUGAAUACCGUAAAUACUGGCUAUGUGCAAUUGAUYGCCAAUUCUGGAUGAAAAUAAUUAAACUGGAUAAAGUGCUGUGGGACAGUGUUAUGUUAUAACCUAAGAAAAAUGAUUUUCUUAAUUAAAUCCGAGAAUGCAGAUGAAUUCCAGACGAUCUCUUUAUCAAAUUAUUAUAACAAAUACUACUAAAUCAGAUCAGCAUGCAGAUCUAUAUUUUAAAUUCCAAUCCAAGAACGUUAUACUCAAAAGAAGAGGAGUCCAUUACACCAUUGGAUCAAUGGAUAUAUAUUUCAUUUUCUUACGGCUAACGAUUAGAAGAUUUGCAUUGAUUAUGUAAUCCGAAAAAGAGUUUUAUUCUAUAAUAUUAUGUAAAUAGAAUGCAGCUGCAGUA